GUUUGUUUCAGUGACUGUGUUUCUUCUCUGUGUCCUGAUCUUCAUCAUACUGAAGCACAGAAAAACACACAGAGAUGCUGAAGAUAAUGCAGAAGUUAAUAAGAUUUCUAACUCGGACGCUGUGAAUUACGCUGCACUUCAGUUCUCUAAGAAGAAAACCAAGAGGAACAAGAGACAUGAUGUAAAGGAGGAUCCAUGUGUUGUAUAUUCUUCAGUGGG